CUACGGGAUGCAGCAGUGAGGAAUAUUGCACAAUGGGGGGAACCCUGAUGCAGCAACGCCGCGUGGAGGAUGACGCAUUUCGGUGUGUAAACUCCUUUUAUAUGUCAAGAAAAUGACGGUAGCAUAUGAAUAAGCACCGGCUAACUCCGUGCCAGCAGCCGCGGUAAUACGGAGGGUGCAAGCGUUACUCGGAAUCACUGGGCGUAAAGGGCGCGUAGGCGGGUUGGUAAGUCAGGUGUGAAAUCCUAUAGCUUAACUGUAGAACUGCACUUGAAACUUCUAAUCUAGAGUAUGGGAGGGGGAGAUGGAAUUAGUGGUGUAGGGGUAAAAUCCGUAGAUAUCACUAGGAAUACCUAAAGCGAAGGCGAUCUCCUGGAACAUUACUGACGCUGAGGCGUGAAAGCGUGGGGAGCAAACAGGAUUAGAUACCCCCGUAGUC
rnacentral:rRNA from 1 species